rnacentral:rRNA from 1 species
AACGAACGCUGGCGGCAUGCCUAACACAUGCAAGUCGAACGAACCCUUCGGGGUUAGUGGCGCACGGGUGCGUAACGCGUGGGAAUCUGCCCUUUGCUUCGGAAUAACUCAGGGAAACUUGUGCUAAUACCGGAUGAUGUCUUCGGACCAAAGAUUUAUCGGCAAGGGAUGAGCCCGCGUAGGAUUAGGUGGUUGGUGGGGUAAAGGCCUACCAAGCCGACGAUACUUAGCUGGUCUGAGAGGAUGAUCAGCCACGCUGGGACUGAGACACGGGCCAGACUCGUGCGGGAGGCGGCAGUGGGAAAUAUUGGACAAUGGGCGCAAGACUGAGCAAGCAAGGCCGCGUGAGUGAGGCAGGCCGGCGGGUAGUAGAGCUCUUUUACCAGGGAGGAUGAUGACAGUACCUGGAGAAUAAGCUCCGGGUAACUCCGUG